GACGGAGGAUGCAAGUGUUAUCCGGAAUCACUGGGCGUAAAGCGUCUGUAGGUGGUUUAAUAAGUCAACUGUUAAAUCUUGAGGCUCAACCUCAAAAUCGCAGUCGAAACUAUUAGGCUAGAGUAUAGUAGGGGUAAAGGGAAUUUCCAGUGGAGCGGUGAAAUGCGUAGAGAUUGGAAAGAACACCGAUGGCGAAGGCACUUUACUGGGCUAUUACUAACACUCAGAGACGAAAGCCAGGGUAGCAAAUGGG
rnacentral:rRNA from 1 species